CGGAACGGAGGCGGCGGCGGCGGGGAGGAGGAGGAGGGAGGAGGAGGCGGCAACGGCCGGCACCGCUCGGCAACUUCCGGAAGGGCUUCGGCACUCUCCGGAAGGGGUUCGGGGCUUUCCGGAAGGGCUUCGGGCUUUUCCGGAAGGGCUUCGGGGAUCUUCGGGAGGCUCCGCAAGGAUUUCGGGGAUCUUCGGGAACCUCCGGGAGGGAUUCGGGGCUCUUCGGGAGGCUCCGGAAGGGUUUCGGGGCUCUUCGGCAACUUCCGGAAGGGAUUCGGGGCUCUCCGGAACGGCUUCGGCUUUCUCCGGAAGAGCUUCGGGUCUCUUCGAAAGAGCUUCGGGAUUAUCCGGAAGGGGCUUCGGGUCUUUCCGGAACGGCUUCGGGACUUUCCGUAACGGCUUCGGCUCUCUCCGGAAAAGCUUCGGGUCUCUUCGAAAGAGCUUCGGGAUUGUCCGGAAGAGCCUUCGGGUCUUUCCGGAACGGCUUCGGGUCUCUUCGGAAGAGCUUCGGGGCUUUCCGGAAGGUGCUUCGGGUCUUUUCGGAACGCCUUCGGGAUUCUCCGGAAAGGAGCCGGGAGGGGGGAAUCGGAGGUUUCCGGGCAGGGUUCGGGAAGGCCCCCGGAACGCUUCGGGUUCGUCCGGAAGGAACGCGACUCGUUCCGGGUUCUUCCCUUCGGCUAUUUCCGGAAGGGGUUCGGCUCUUUCCGGAUUCUUCACCGGCGUUCUGCCGAGGAAGGGCUUUCGGCUCUUUCCGGAACGCUUCGGCACUUUCCGGCUCCGCGCCCUCCUCCCCGCCGCCUUCGUGUCUCGCCGGAAAACUUCGGCUCUUUCCGGAAGCCUCCCCGAACGCCGCCACCCCUCCCACACACAAACACCCGCUUCGGCUCUCUCCGGAAAGCUUCGGCUCUUUCCGCCUCCCCUCCCCUUUCCAUCAGCCAAUCCCGUGCCGAGGGGGAAGCUUGAGGCGCUCCAAUUGGCUCAGCCGGUGCCAGGGAGGGGGCGGGGCCUCGCCGCCCUCCCAUGGGCGCCGCCAUCUUUGUUGAGGGCAUCUCUCCCUUACUGGGUACAGGGAGGAUGGGACCUUACUGGGACCAGUUCCCCCCCUCCCAGUCCCUCCAGUAAGGCUGCAGUG
rnacentral:lncRNA from 1 species